rnacentral:rRNA from 1 species
AACGAACGCUGGCGGCAUGCCUAACACAUGCAAGUCGAACGAGACCUUCGGGUCUAGUGGCGCACGGGUGCGUAACGCGUGGGAACCUGCCCUUAGGUUCGGAAUAACUCCCCGAAAGGGGUGCUAAUACCGGAUAAUGUCUUCGGACCAAAGAUUUAUCGCCUUUGGAUGGGCCCGCGUUGGAUUAGCUAGUUGGUAGGGUAAAAGCCUACCAAGGCGACGAUCCAUAGCUGGUCUGAGAGGAUGAUCAGCCACACUGGGACUGAGACACGGCCCAGACUCCUACGGGAGGCAGCAGUGGGGAAUAUUGGACGAUGGGCGAAAGCCUGAUCCAGCAAUGCCGCGUGAGUGAUGAAGGCCUUAGGGUUGUAAAGCUCUUUUAACCGGGAUGAUAAUGACAGUACCGGGAGAAUAAGCGCCGGCUAACUCCGUG